GAUAUUUCUGCCCUGUUCUUUCUUCCUCCCAAAUGACUUCAGAAUUGAUUUUUCCAUGGUUAUUCUGUUUCAAUUUUUCAUUAUUAUUUUUUAAAUAUGGAUCUUACUCCUUUCUUGGUUUUAUGAAUGCAAGAGGGAAAAAUAUGCAUUUUCUUCAAAAAAAAUUUGUCUCAUUUUUAAUGCAAAUUACAACAAAAGAACCUUUAUUAACACUCCAUUAUCUGAACUGAAAGAGGUCCAGAAUACCACAGUGUCCUGGUUUCAGCUGGGAUAGAGGAAGGAAAGAUACCCUUCUUUACUGUGACUUUUCUUUAAAGAUGAUGCAUCCAAUUAAUACCUUCCAUUGAAAAAGGAAAGAAAAUUGCUGCUGCUGUUGCAUCUUUAUGCUGAGAAUUUCUCUCCACCACUGAUGGGAAACACAAGUCUCCUUGGGCAGGUACUGCCUCAAGCUAUGCACUGACCAGAGGAGCUGUCAGAGAAGAUGACUGCUGUCAGUAGCUCUCUCUGUGCUUCACACCAGUUUACCGUAUGAGAAGGGUGGCUCCUGGUAAUCUGCACCUCAGUGAAGUUAUGGAAAACCUCUUGACACAGUUUCCAUUUCCAGAAGACAAGUGCCUCCUCUGUCCCCCAGCCUGGCCUGGCUACCAUCCUGCCUUCUCUUGAAUCCCCUGAGCUUAACCCUUCCUUCUCCAGCACUCCACCAUUUAUCUCACUUCAUCUCUCAUCAGCCUGCCUCUUUCAGCUCUCUCUCACAUAAACUUUGACUCUUCUCUAGACCUCAAAAUCGUUCAGCUUUUGCAGAGUGUGUAUGCAGCUGUGUUCAUGGUCAGAUCCGAGCUCUGCCUGACAGCCAGUAAGACCAGGGUGAACGUUAAUGAGUAAGCAAUGAGGAAACCAUUGAGUGUGACCUUCAAUCCUAAGCUAACAUGACAGUAUAAACACAGUCUCAGUUAUUGCUCAUAUGCUCUCUGCCCGUCUGAACAAUCUCUCUCUUUUUCUCUCAGGCUCCCCCAUUCCCCCUCACCAAACUUUCAUUGCUUCCUCCACCAUUCCUCACUCUCACUCUGUGAUUGGAGACCUUUUAAGCAAGUUGAAUAGAGGUAUUCAAACAGUACAGAAAGGCCACUAAAAAGCACCUGGUCCUGAAUGGCUUCACAUACAUUCAUGCCAUAAUGAAGUUCAGAGUCUCUAUUUGGAUACCCAGAGGCCUCUGAAAAUUUUAAAUUAAUCAGUCAAUGAUUCCUUAAAAUUAUUUCAGUACAGUCCUCAGUACUCACCUGUGUAAAAGAAUUGUGAAUUCCUGUCCCUAGUGUCACAAUAUUGGCCAGGCAUCCUUCUAUAUGAAUAACCAACAGAUUAAUCAGCUCUGGUUCCCAAAAAUAUUGACACAAGUGACCUUUGCACACUCACCCAUGGCAGAGACAAAGUUAGAACCCAGAAGAUGCCUCAAAUCCUACUUCACUUACUUACUUACAGACAGUGAAGGAAAGCACUAUUAUACUAAACAGUUUUUAAUUAAAUAGUAAGGUUUCUGUGUCCUGCUUUGCCUUCACAAAGGGUUACCAAAUUUCAGCACAUUCCCCAG